rnacentral:lncRNA from 1 species
AAUGAUAAUUUUGAUUUCUAAGAAAAAAUUCUAUAAAAUAUAUUUUUAAAAGCGUAUUUAUUUUACACAAUUUAUUUUUUUUCCUGAAUGCGAAUAUAAAAGUAUUAAAAAGAUGCGUUCACGCGCUCAAAUUGUUCGUCGAGACACCACCGAACACAUUGAUUCAAUUACACAAAUGUAAAAAAAUUAAAAUCAAAUCCUCUUAAAAGAAUUCUAUUCUUAGUAUACAAAAUAAUAUUCCUGAAUUUUCUUUUUUUGACUGAAAAUAUUAUCUCUGAAAUUGGAUGAGUUCUUAUAAAUCCACUGGUCUGGUUCAUUGGACCUGGUCCAAGCAAUAAUUUCUCUUAGAACAGAGGAGUCCAACGGUCAGUUUUCAUAGAAGUUUCCAAAUUGAACCUACAUGCAAUUAUUUACAGGUAAAUUUCAAAUAUCAUCCCUAUGAUUUCACAAUUUCUCACUCUAGUACCGUAUAAUUUAAAGUAUAUUAUUUUAGUAUCCUAUAAUUUUCGUCAGCAUCUUAGUUAAAUCAUAUAUAAGAAACUUCAGAUACUCCACCUAUGGUUUAUCGAAUAUUCACUUUAGUUUCCUAUAGUUUACCAAAUUUUUACUUUAGUAUCAUGUGAUUUUAACUUUAUCAUUAAUUUAACAAAAAUAUUAAUGAGGGAUAGCGAAAAAGGAAAGAAGAAACUAUAGGAUUCUAAAGUGAUACAUUUUAAACCACGGAGUACUAAAGUGAGAAAAUGCGAAACCCCCUAUUGUGGUAUUUGAAGUGUUUCCAUUAUUUAAAGAAAUAAUAUCUAAUAUUCUGAAAUUUUAAAAUAUCUUAUUUAUUUUUGAAGAACCAAGAUGCUUCUGUUAAUUUUAAAAUAUGUCAUCAAAUAUUCUAAUAAGAUUGGAUUUAAAAAAAUAUUUUAAUUUUAAUAAUUUUAAAAUAAAUUUAAAAUUUUGAAUAGUAAUAAGGAAUAAAUAGGCUAGAGCCUAUUGUUUAA